rnacentral:rRNA from 1 species
GACGAACCGUGCGAACGUUGUUCGGAAUCACUGGGCUUAAAGGGCGCGUAGGCGGGCUCACAAGUCAGGGGUGAAAUCCCACGGCUCAACCGUGGAAGUGCCUUUGAUACUGUGGGUCUUGAGGGAGGUAGGGGCGUGCGGAACUUCCGGUGGAGCGGUGAAAUGCGUAGAUAUCGGAAGGAACACCGGUGGCGAAAGCGGCGCGCUGGACCUCUACUGACGCUGAGGCGCGAAAGCGUGGGGGAGCAAACAGGG